GUGGGUGUGGGAGGCUCAGGGCCCCUGCUACUCACUCACUCAGGUGUUCUUUGUCUUUCCACAG
ensembl:miRNA Mir6935 microRNA 6935